rnacentral:rRNA from 1 species
AUUGAACGCUGGCGGCGUGCCUAAUACAUGCAAGUCGAGCGAAGCGGCGGAUGGGUGAGUAACGCGUGGGUAACCUGCCCUUAAGUCUGGGAUACCAUUUGGAAACAGAUGCUAAUACCGGAUACUAACGGACGGACCUGCGAUUCAUUAGCUAGUUGGUAAGGUACAGGCUUACCAAGGCGAUGAUGCAGAGCCGAGUUGAGAGACUGAUCGGCCACAUUGGGACUGAGACACGGCCCAAACUCCUACGGGAGGCAGCAGUAGGGAAUCUUCCACAAUGGACGAAAGUCUGAUGGAGCAACGCCGCGUGAGUGAAGAAGGUUUUCGGAUCGUAAAGCUCUGUUGUUGGUGAAGCGGUAAUCAACCAGAAAGUCACGGCUAACUACGUGCCAGCAGCCGCGGUAAUUC